rnacentral:lncRNA from 1 species
UCACAGGAGGAUAGAGUCUGAUGGAGAGAAGACAGGGGUACAUAGAUUGGAAGGGUUGAUAUGCCCCAACCUAAAGAGAAGAUGAGACCAUGUAUUUCCCAACUAAGGCCAGCUUCAUGGGCUACUGCCCACAACUAAAUCAAGCACCCAGAGGCAUAGUGGGGUAAGCAUAGGAGGCAUAUGGAAAGACCUCGGGCUAGCAACGGGAUUCUACAGAAAAUUUGAAGAAAUACUAACUUCCCAAGCAAGCAAACGGGGGAAUCCAUGAAGCAGAAGAGCCUUUCAGCCCAGCUUCCUCAGCCACAUUGUCACAGACUGACUUGACUGUCAGGUGUUCUGGCCAUCAUAAGCUGAAUGCCAAUAUGACACCAGGGGUGGCAAAUAAUCCUGGUGCUCAAGAGACUGAGGUGGGAAGACUGCUGCUCAUCCAAGGCCAGCCUUAGAGACACACUAUGCAAGGCCAAAGCCAGCCUGAGCUCCAUAGCACAUGCUAGACCAAGGCCAGCCUGAACUACAAAUUUGAGCCUAUGAGAUAAUGAUCCCGAACUGUCUGAGGUGAUUGACAAGUCAGACCAGUGACAGCAUGAAACAUGGUUGAAAGAGUCUUUUGGAAGUACGCUAUUGAUUUAAUAAACUUUUUAGACCAAACUUUUAGACCAAAAUGAAUGCUAUAACUCUAAUCAAGUUUUAAAUUUUAAAUUUAUUUUAUUCUCCCCUCGCUCUGGUGUGUGUGUGUGUGUGUGUGUGUGUGUGUGUGUGUGUGUGUGUGUAUACAAAUGCUUGUGAUGUGGAACAGAGGUGUGGAGGUCAGAGAAUAAUGUGUGGGAGUUGGCUCUUUCCAUCCACCUUUCAGUGGACGCUGAGGUUGUCAAGCAUGGGUGAAAAGACCUUUAGAUACCGAGCCACUUGCUAACCUUCAGUUCCCUUUGAGUGUAGAGAUACUAAAUAUCUAUUAUUAGAAGCAUCAAAAGCAAGCAUCAAUAAAUUGAACAUUCUGGCUCUUCCUUAAAUAGCUACAAAUACAUUGCCCCUUUCAGUAGGCUGGAUAGAUAACACUAGACAGCUGACCCUUUCCAUAUUUCAACCUAUAUUAUCCAAAAGCUCGCACUUCUCAGCUUUGGGGAUAAAUACAACUUCUUUUCUGAUUUUAUAACUCUGUGAAACUCAGUUGGUACUGUCCAUGAACCACUAUCUCCAUGGACUUACUACAAAGGAGUGAGGAGAACCAGACAGCAGUGUCUCCACUGCCAUGCGAGUCACUACACAACAUCUCAAAAACUGACGGAGGGAGCUCAUCCCGCAGUGCAUGCUGGGAUUUGGGAAAUAGAAGUGAGCUCAGUGCACACCUGUAACCUCAGCACUAACCCAUCAGCUCCAGGUCAGCUUGGGAUAUGCAGCAAGACUCCAUCUAAAAGGAAAAGACCUCAUCGUUUAUGUCUUCAAGUCAUUAAACUAAGGCUCACAGUAUUUCUACUAUUACUUUUGGGAAUAAACACCUCAGUUUCCAGUACAAAACCUUAAAUCUCAUUUGAACAAUGCACUCAGUUUAACAGAAUGUUUUGGGGGUGACAUGGUUGUUGAUUUUAUUUUGUUUUAGAAUAGUCUCAUAUCAUCCUUAAGCUUGAGAUCCCCCAGCCUCAGUCUCCCAAUGUGAGGAGGAGUGAUGUGCACAUGUCUGGCUCCUGUCAGAAUGCUUUGUGAAUUAUAGCAGCAUACAACGCAGAAGCAGACAGUUACAUUUUACUUCACGUGUAAGACCUGCAAUAAAAACAGUGAUCAUUUAAUUAAUGGUAAAAAAAAAAACACAUAAAAUUGAGCCUGUUUUGCAGCUAUUUCUUUGACUAUUUUCCAAUCUGUAAAAUGCACUACGAGACACUCAAUAAGGGCUAGAGACAGAGCUGUCACAGGCUGCAGCUUUGAUCUCUGCACCAAGAUAAUGCUGGCUACAAUAAAUAACAGUCUAAAGCUGAGGAUUUAAGAAGAAUCUGAGCCUUUGGAUUUAAGAAGAAUCUGAGCCUUUGGUGAUGAUGUCAGAACUGUUACAUGGAUUCUUUUGACAUAAUGUGAAGAAGUGACAGUCGCACAACAUUAGGGCUUAAGAAUCUGAAGUGAUCAACUGAGAUAAUUAUGAGGAGCUGGAGAGAUAGCUCAGUGGUUAAGAGCACCAGAUUAAGAGUGGUUAAGAGCGGUUAAGAGUGGUUAAGAACUCCUCUUCCAGAGAUCCUGGGUUUCAUUCCUAGAAUCCAUGUAAUCUUUCACAACCAUCUGUAACACCAGUUCCAGGGGAUCCAACUCCCUCUUCUGUCUUUUGUCAGCACUAGGAAUACAUCUGCCAUUAAAAAAAUAAAAAUAAUAAUAAAUUUAAAUUAAAGAAAUGAAUACCAAUCAUUUGGAGGACCUGAGUUCAGUUCCCAGCAUACACAUGGCAGUUUACAGUUGUCUGUAACUCCAGUUCCAGACAGAUCUGAGACCCUUUCCUGGAGUCCUGGAGACCCAGGAGCUCGCACAGUAUGUUUACAUACUUGUAGACAAAACACUCAAGUACAUGAAGUACAAAUAAACAACAGUGACUCAUUUGUCUGGCCUUUGUACGAUUACUUGUUUCCAAUUGUAAUUAAAUUAAGCUAUGCACAUUCUCUAGAAGGUUUCCAGGUUGCCAAAGACCUGCUGACCAGAUUAUAUGCUAACUAAAACUAGCCUGAAGAACAGCCUUUUCUGUUCACCCGACAGAGCUGUCAAAUCCUUUCUGCCAGCUGGGUUCGCCCUAGUGGCCCACACAAGUUACUUAACCAGCAGAUCAAAGCAGCUCACCUUACAAGGUGUUGCAGAAGAUAACAGUUAAAGAAAGUUCCCUUAACUCAAUGAAAAAGAGCUUCUCC